AACGAACGCUGGCGGCAUGCCUAACACAUGCAAGUCGAACGAAGCCUUCGGGCUUAGUGGCCCACGGGUGCGUAACGCGUGGGAAUCUGCCCUUGGGUUCGGAAUAACAGUUAGAAAUGACUGCUAAUACCGGAUGAUGUCUUCGGACCAAAGAUUUAUCGCCCAAGGAUGAGCCCGCGUAGGAUUAGGUAGUUGGUGGGGUAAUGGCCCACCAAGCCGACGAUCCUUAGCUGGUCCGAGAGGAUGAUCAGCCACACUGGGACUGAGACACGGCCCAGACUCCUACGGGAGGCAGCAGUGGGGAAUAUUGGACAAUGGGCAAAAGCCUGAUCCAGCAAUGCCGCGUGAGUGAUGAAGGCCUUAGGGUUGUAAAGCUCUUUUACCAGGGAUGAUAAUGACAGUACCUGGAGAAUAAGCUCCGGCUAACUCCGUGCCAGCAGCCGCAGUAAGAC
rnacentral:rRNA from 1 species